rnacentral:sRNA from 1 species
UCAAUUCCUUGAUCGUUUGGCUCCUCCUUU